rnacentral:tRNA from 1 species
GUGAACUUAGUUUAAUUUAAAACCUUUAACUUGCAAUUAAGAAAUCUAGUAAUAUCUCCUAGAGUCCACA